AAGCCAUUUCAACUCAUAUCAAUUGAGGGCAAAAGGGAUCCCUAAAUUACCACUAUGAAUGGUAAACAUAUUUAUUUCGAUAUUCUUCAUUUUAGACAUAAACUAAUGAUCACGAUCAUACUUUGCCAUUGUGGCUCCUACAAAUCAGAUCGCGAUCCACUCUCGCUAAAGGGAACACUAGUCUUAUUUACAGGGAGUGG
rnacentral:lncRNA from 1 species